AUUGAACGCUGGCGGCAGGCCUAACACAUGCAAGUCGAACGAGUGGCGGACGGGUGAGUAAUGUCUGGGAAACUGCCUGAUGGAGGGGGAUAACUCCUGGAAACGGUCGCUAAUACCGCAUACCAUCCGAUGUUCCCAGAUGGGAUUAGCUAGUUGGUGGGGUAACGGCUCACCAAGGCGACGCUCCCGAGCUGGUCUGAGAGGAUGACCAGCCACACUGGAACGGAGACACGGUCCAGACUCCUACGGGAGGCAGCAGUGGGGAAUAUUGCACAAUGGGGGCAAGCCUGAUGCAGCCAUGCCGCGUGUAUGAAGAAGGCCUUCGGGUUGUAAAGUACUUGCAGCGGGGAGGCGUUACCCGCAGAAGAAGCACCGGCUAACUCCGGGCCAGUCGCCGCGGUAAUUC
rnacentral:rRNA from 1 species